GCGGGCGUGGCUUAGCGGUAAAGCGCCUCCUUCCCAAGGAGGAGAUCGCGGGUUCGAUCCCCGUCGCCCGCU
rnacentral:tRNA from 1 species